GACGAACGCUGGCGGCGUGCUUAACACAUGCAAGUCGAACGAGACGAUUGAAAGCUUGCUUUCGAAAGUCGAGUGGCAAACGGGUGAGUAACGCGUAGACAACCUGCCUUUGAGAUGGGGACAACAGUUCGAAAGGACUGCUAAUACCGAAUGUUGUAUAUUUUCCACAUGGAAGAUAUAUUAAAGAUGGCCUCUAUUUAUAAGCUAUCGCUCAAAGAUGGGUCUGCGUCUGAUUAGCUAGUUGGUGGGGUAACGGCAUACCAAGGCGACGAUCAGUAGCCGGUCUGAGAGGAUGAACGGCCACAUUGGGACUGAGACACGGCCCAGACUCCUACGGGAGGCAGCAGUGGGGAAUCUUCCACAAUGGACGAAAGUCUGAUGGAGCAACGCCGCGUGAGUGAAGAAGGGUUUCGGCUCGUAAAGCUCUGUUGUCGGGGACGAAUGUGCAGUAUUUGAAUAAAGUAGUGCAAUGACGGUACCUGACGAGGAAGCCACGGCUAACUACGUGCCAGCAGCCGCGGUAA
rnacentral:rRNA from 1 species